rnacentral:rRNA from 1 species
AUUGAACGCUGGCGGCAUGCCUUACACAUGCAAGUCGAACGGCAGCACGGUUGCUUGCACCUGUUGGCGAGUGGCGAACGGGUGAGUAAUACAUCGGAACAUGUCCUGUAGUGGGGGAUAGCCCGGCGAAAGCCGGAUUAAUACCGCAUACGAUCUACGGCUGAAAGCGGGGGACCUUCGGGCCUCGCGCUAUAGGGUUGGCCGAUGGCUGAUUAGCUAGUUGGUGGGGUAAAGGCCUACCAAGGCGACGAUCAGUAGCUGGUCUGAGAGGACGACCAGCCACACUGGGACUGAGACACGGCCCAGACUCCUACGGGAGGCAGCAGUGGGGAAUUUUGGACAAUGGGCGAAAGCCUGAUCCAGCAAUGCCGCGUGUGUGAAGAAGGCCUUCGGGUUGUAAAGCACUUUUGUCCGGAAAGAAAUCCUUGGCCCUAAUACGGUCGGGGGAUGACGGUACCGGAAGAAUAAGCACCGGCUAACUACGAG